GAGUGAAACUCAAAGGAAUUGACGGGGACCCGCACAAGUAGCGGAGCAUGUGGUUUAAUUCGAAGCAACGCGAAGAACCUUACCUAAGCUUGACAUCCCAAUGACAUCUCCUUAAUCGGAGAGUUCCCUUCGGGGACAUUGGUGACAGGUGGUGCAUGGUUGUCGUCAGCUCGUGUCGUGAGAUGUUGGGUUAAGUCCCGCAACGAGCGCAACCCUUGUCUUUAGUUGCCAUCAUUAAGUUGGGCACUCUAGAGAGACUGCCAGGGAUAACCUGGAGGAAGGUGGGGAUGACGUCAAAUCAUCAUGCCCCUUAUGCUUAGGGCUACACACGUGCUACAAUGGGUAGUACAGAGGGUUGCCAAGCCGUAAGGUGGAGCUAAUCCCUUAAAGCUACUCUCAGGUCGGAUUGUAGGCUGAAACUCGCCUACAUGAAGCUGGAGUUACUAGUAAUCGCAGAUCAGAAUGCUGCGGUGAAUGCGUUCCCGGGUCUUGUACACACCGCCCGUCACACCACGGGAGUUGGAGACGCCCGCAGCCGA
rnacentral:rRNA from 1 species